AGGAUGAACGCUGGCGGCGUGCCUAACACAUGCAAGUCGAACGUCCUGUCUCGCAAGAGGCAGGGAGUGGCGGACGGGUGAGUACCACGUGGGUUAUCUACCGUGAGGUGAGGAAUACCGGCGAGAAAUCGCCGACAAGACCGCAUAGCCUCGGUGCAAGCCGAGGAAAGCUUUCUCGAGAGAGGGAGCGCCACACGAGGAGCCUGCGCCCGAUUAGCUAGCUGGUGGAGUAACGGUUCACCAGGGCGACGAUCGGUAGCUGGUCUGAGAGGACGAUCAGCCACACUGGGAUUGAGAACGGCCCAGACUCCUACGGGGGGCAGCAGUGAGGAAUUUUCGUCAAUGGGGGCAACCCUGAACGAGCAACGCCGCGUGCAGGAAGAAGGUUUUCGGAUCGUAAACUGCUUUUCCCGGGGAAGAGAACGGACGGUACCCGAGGAAUCAGCCCCGGCUAACUACGUGCCAGCAGCCGC
rnacentral:rRNA from 1 species